UACGUAGGGGGCAAGCGUUGUCCGGAAUCAUUGGGCGUAAAGAGCGUGUAGGCGGCUCGAUAAGUCUGCUGUGAAAGUCCAGGGCUCAACCCUGGAAGGCCGGUGGAAACUGUCGGGCUAGAGUCCGGAAGAGGCGAGUGGAGUUCCCGGUGUAGCGGUGAAAUGCGCAGAUAUCGGGAGGAACACCAAUGGCGAAGGCAGCUCGCUGGGACGGUACUGACGCUGAGACGCGAAAGCGUGGGGAGCAAACAGG
rnacentral:rRNA from 1 species